GAUAAUACGAUUUAAUUAAUUUAAGUUUUAAUAAUUAUUAAAUUGAAAUUUUAAAUUAAAAUUUAUUAGGUGAAAUUUUAAAUUUUUUAAAAAUUUUUGAAUAUAAGAUGUAAGAAAUUUUGGUAAUAAACUAGGAUUAGAUACCCUAUUAUUAUAAAAGUAAAAUUAUAAACUUGAUUAUUAUUAGUUAUGUUCUUUAAAAUUAAAAAAUUUGGCGGUAUUUUAGUCUAUUCAGAGGAACCUGUUCUAUAAUUGAUAAUCCACGAUUUAAUUAACUUUAAUUAUUAGUUUGUAUAUCGUUGUUAAUUUGAAUAUUUUAAAAGAAUAAUAAUAUUCGAUUUUUAAUUAAUAGAAGAAUUCAGAUCAAGGUAUAGUUUAUAUUAAAGAAGAAAUGGGUUACAAUAAUUUUAAUUAAAGGAUUAAGUAUUGAGAAUGUUUAUGAAUUUGGAUUUGAUAGUAAUAUUUUAUAAAUAUAAAAUAUGAUAUAAGCUCUAAAAUAUGUACAUAUCGCCCGUCGCUUUCACUUUAAUGUGAAAUAAGUCGUAACAAAGUAGAUUUACCGGAAGGUGGGGCUAGAAAGACAAAUUAGAGCUUGAUAAAAGUAUUUUAUUUACAUUAAAAAGUUAAUUGUGAAAUUCAAUUUAAUUUGAUAAAAUUAAAUUAUUUAAAUUUUAGUUUAAUUUACUAUUAAAUAAAAGAAUUUAAAGUUAAAGUAUAAUUAAGAAAUAAUUAGAUUUAUAAUAGUGUAUUAGUAUGGUGAUAGAAUUAUUAAUUAAUUUAUAAGAAAAAUUUAGU
rnacentral:rRNA from 1 species